AUGUUAUGGGACCAGUCCUGCACAGAACAGGACAAAGUCUCAGUCCAGGACUCAUCUCAUGGCGUUGCUCUCUCUGCUUUUACAGCUGGACCCACAUCACCAUCUGUCUUCCCCCUCACCUCCUGUGUCGGAGAAGCCACCACCUCCCAGGUCACCUUUGGCUGCCUGGUCAAAGACUAUACCCCUGAGCCGGUCACCGUGCAAUGGAGCCCCAGUGUCAGCGCCUCAGGACUGAGAACCUACCCCUCCAUGCUGCAAACUUCCAGCGGCCUCUACUCGCUCAGCAGCCAGGUCACCGUCCCAGCCAGCAGCCGGGAAUCCAACACCUAUCGCUGCACCGUCGGUCACCAGCCCACCCGCUCCAGCAUCACCAAGGAAAUCCCAAAAACUGCCAGCUCCAAACCCCACCCACCCACGGUGCAAGUCUACCACUCCUCCUGCACCACCAAGCCAAGCACCAUCCACCUGCUCUGCCUCAUCUCCAACUUCUCCCCCAUGCCCCUGAAAGUGGAAUGGCUGGUAGACGGGGUGUCUGGGCAGCUUCAUGGUGUCACAGCCCCUGCUCAGAAGGAUGCCGGUGGCAGAACCUACAGCACCCACAGCAAUGCCAGUGUCUCCCAGGAAGAGUUUAUGGAGGACAAGACGUACACCUGCAGAGUGUUCCAUCCGGGUACUGGGACCACGGAGGAGGGCGAAGCCCGCAAGUGCAAAGCAACAUCCUCGUCUUCAUGGUGCCCCCAUCCCCUGCUGAACCAAGCCCGAAAGUGCAAAGACUUAUCUACAUCUACCAGCAACAUCCUGAUCUUCAUGGUGCCCCCACCCCCUUCUGAGCUCUAUGUGGGCCUCAGCCCCACGCUCACCUGCCUGGUCGUCAACCUGCCUAACGACGCUGACCUGAAAGUGGUCUGGUCCCGGGAGAAGUCAGGAACCAUUAGCCCCGAGCCCCUCGUCUUAUCUGAGCAGCGCAACCGCACCUUCACCGCCUCCAGCUCCCUGGCCAUCUUCCCCCGCGACUGGGAGACCGGAGACAAAUACAGCUGCAAAGUGGAGCACUCGGAGCUGCCCUCACCCAUCAUCAAAUCCAUCUCCAAGAGGGAAGGAAAGAGCUCCCCUCCGAAUGUCUACCUCCUGCGCCCCCAUCAUGAUGAACUGAAUGGCAACAGCAAUGGAGAUACUGUCAGCAUCACCUGUCUGGUGCGGGGCUUCUACCCCGAGGACAUCUCAGUGAAGUGGAUGGAGGAUCACCAGCCCAGUGACAACAACAAAUCUGUCACCACCUCGCCCAUGAAGGAAGGAGCUGGCGGCGACUCAACCUACUUCCUCUAUAGCAAGCUAACAGUCGACAAGGCCAGUUGGAAGAAAGGAACCACCUUCACCUGCAUGGUCAUCCAUGAAGCCCUGAAACCAAUGAAAGGUGACGUCUCAUUCUCUCCCCCAACAGAGGUGAUCACGUCCGGCGAUUUUUGCAACGAGGACGGCGACGAGGAUCUCGACAGCCUCUGGAGCACCAUCUCGGUCUUCAUCACCCUCUUCCUCCUCAGUGUUUGCUACAGCGCCACGGUGACCCUGUUCAAGGUGAAAUGGCUUUUCUCCACCGUGGUGCAGCUGAAGCGGGCGAACGGCCCUGAGUACAAGAACGUGAUCCAGCGAGUGGUGUAG